rnacentral:rRNA from 1 species
CCUACGGGAGACUGCAGUAGGGAAUCUUCCACAAUGGGCGAAAGCCUGAUGGAGCAACGCCGCGUGGGUGAAGAAGGUCUUCGGAUCGUAAAACCCUGUUGUUAGAGAAGAAAGUGCGUGAGAGUAACUGUUCACGUUUCGACGGUAUCUAACCAGAAAGCCACGGCUAACUACGUGCCAGCAGCCGCGGUAAUACGUAGGUGGCAAACGUUAUCCGGAUUUAUUGGGCGUAAGGGGAACGCAGGCGGUCUUUUAAGUCUGAUGUGAAAGCCUUCGGCUUAACCGGAGUAGUGCAUUGGAAACUGGGAGACGUGAGUGCAGAAGAGGAGAGUGGAACUCGAUGUGUAGCGGUGAAAUGCGUAGAUAUAUGGAAGAACACCAGUGGCGAAAGCGGCUCUCUGGUCUGUAACUGACGCUGAGGUUCGAAAGCGUGGGUAGCAAACAGGAUUAGAUACCCUUGUAGUC